CUGCCUCCUCCUCUCCGUCUCAGUGCGUGAGUACCUAGGCCCUACCCGUAACCCCUACCCCCGCACCACCACCACCUCGGCACACCACGAGGUAACCGAUCGGAAGCUCCACAGUUAUAUAUAUACACACACGCUCACACAGCGCACCACCUUACGUCAUUGAGUGCCAUCACCGCUUUCUCUUCCUCACUACUCGCCACCUGAUCGUAGUGCCCGUCAUGGCCGCACCGGAAGCAGCGACCGCCGCAGCUGCAGCUGCGGCUGCAGCUUCGCCGGCGGCCGGCAACUUCGCAGUGCCACUAGAGUGGAGCUCGACGUGGAACCUCUUCGACGAGCGGCACACUGGGUCGGUGUCGCACAUUGACCUCAAGCACAUCUUGCGCAGCCUCGGGCGCCGCUACACGGAGGCGGAGCUCAACGAUCUCCUACGGCCCUUGCCCAACCCUGCCUCGUACGACGCAUUCAUAAAGCUGAUGCAGCAGCCGUACACGGGGCCGACCGAGGAAGACCUCGUGACAGCGCUGCGCGCCUUCGACGUCGGGGACUCGGGCCGGCUGAAGCUCUCUGAACUCAUUACCCUCCUCACGACGCUGGGGGAGAAGAUGCCGGAGGCCGACGUGCGGCAGCUACUCGCCGAGGUGCCGACAGAUGAAAAGGGACGGGUGCGCAUCGACGAGCUGGCGGCGUACCUGUGUACCCCGGUGCCCACCACGACGCCCGACAUCAUAGAGCUGCAGAGGCAGCUGGGGCAGGCGCAAUCAACAGCUGGCGUACCCGUGACCAAGAGCAUCUAAGGGCACCUGUGUUAUAGUGAAGGUGAGGGCGGCAGAGACAUACACGUCAAGCUCCACUCCCCCCACCCACCCCGCCAGCCACGUGGCCUUUCGCUCGGUCUCUUUCUCCCACACGUCUGCCCAUGUGAUCGCUGAUGGUGCACACACACACACAGACACAGAGACACAUACCACCGCCGAUGUCCCUCCAGUCGCAUGUUGUGCGCUUCCUUCGCGCGUAUAAGGGUUCGUCUCGGACGGUGCUACACACACGCACUCUCUCAUGUACAUACGCAGAAAAUAUUGCCCCGGUGGUACGGAUAGACGG
rnacentral:misc_RNA from 1 species